UUUCACUUUCAUUCUGACUGUCUGUUCUUUGUAUUCCAGCCCACAUUGCGAUGACAGAGGGGAGACCUAAUGAGAGAAGGAGAGAGUAACGGAGGAAGACAGACUGACCAGAGACACCGACAGCAAAGGUUUACAGAGAAAGAUCAGCAAAAAGGUGCAGAAUAAAAAGAGAGAGAGAGAGACAGUAAGCAGGCCAAGAGAGAAAUACGGUAUCAGUGAGAGAGACAGCGACAGAGAGAGACAGCAAACAAACAGAGAGAGAAAUACGGUAUCAGUGAGAGAGAGAGAGAGAGAAAACACAGAGAGAGAAACACGGUAUCGGAGAGAGAGAGAGAAACACGGUAUCGGAGAGAGAGAGAAAACACAGAGAGAGAAACACGGUAUCGGAGAGAGAGAGAGAAACACGGUAUCGGAGAGAGAGAGAAAACACAGGGAGAGAAACACGGUAUCGGAGAGAGAGAGAAACACGGUAUCGGAGAGAGAGAGAAACACGGUAUCGGAGAGAGAGAAACACGGUAUCAGAGAGAGAGAGAGAAACACGUAUCGGAGAGAGAGAGAGAAACAUGGUAUCGGAGAGAGAGAGAAACACGGUAUCGGAGAGAGAGAGAGAGAAACACGGUAUCGGAGAGAGAGAGAGAAACAUGGUAUCGGAGAGAGAGAGAGAAACAUGGUAUCGGAGAGAGAGAGAAAAAACAGAGAGAGAAACACGGUAUCAGAGAGAGAGAGAGAAACACGGUAUCGGAGAGAGAGAGAGAAAACACACAGAGAGAGAAACAUGGUAUCGGAGAGAGAGAGAGAAACACCAUAUCAGAGAGAGAGAGAAACACGGUAUCAGAGAGAGAGAGAGAGAAACAUGGUAUCGGAGAAGAGAGAGAGAAACUCGGUAUGGGAGAGAGAGAGAAAAAACACACAGAGAGAGAAACAUGGUAUCGGAGAGAGAGAAACACGGUAUCAGAGAGAGAGAGAGAGAAACACGAAUCGGAGAGAGAGAGAGAAACACGGUAUGGGAGAGGGAGAGAGAAAACACACAGAGAGAGAAACAUGGUAUCGGAGAGAGAGAGAGAAACAUGGUCAGAGAGAGAGAGAGAGAGAGAGAGAAACACGGUCUCGGAGAGAGAGAGACACGGUAUGGGAGAGAGAGAGAGCAAAAACACACAGAGAGUGAAACACAGUAUAUGAGAGAGAGAGAAACACGGUAUCGGAGAGGGAGAGAGAAAACACACAAAGAGAGAAACAUGGUAUAAGAGAGAGAGAGUUGUGUUAUACAGAGUGAAAGAUAGCUGUGUGUUAUACAGAGAGUGUCAGAGAGAGCUGUGUGUUUUAUAGAGUGUCAGAGAGAACUGAGUGUUAUACAGAGAGUGUCGGAGAGAGCUGUGUGUUAUACGGAGAGUGUCGGAGAGAGCUGUGUGUUUUAUAGAGUGUCAGAGAGAGCUGUGUGUUUUAUAGAGUGUCAGAGAGAGCUGAGUGUUAUACAGAGUGUCAGAGAGAGCUGUGUGUUUUAUAGAGUGCUGUGUUGUAGUAUGGUUUUGUUCCUUCACAGAGGAGAUUAGAAUGGAUCGGUUAAAAUAAUGUUAAAAUGUUCUGUUUUCUGCGUGUUUUUUCACUGUUUAGUGAAUAAGCCCUCUAACCCGGUCUCUGCAGGCGAUAUAUUUAUGGUUGUAGUCUCUCUCUACAGAGCGAAACUCCCAUACAAAGCAUCCUGUCUGCACAGCUUUCACUUUCAUUCUGACUGUCUGUUCUUUGUAUUCCAGCCCACAUUGCGAUGACAGAGGGGAGACAGAACGAGAGAAGGAGAGAGUAACGGAGGAAGACAGACUGACCAGAGACACCGACAGCAAAGGUUUACAGAGAAAGAUCAGCAAAAAGGUGCAGA